GACCAGCCACACUGGAACUGAGACACGGUCCAGACUCCUACGGGAGGCAGCAGUGAGGAAUUUUGCGCAAUGGGGGAAACCCUGACGCAGCAACGCCGCGUGAGUGAAGAAGGCCUUCGGGUUGUAAAGCUCUUUCAGACGGAAAGAAACGGUUACGGCUAACACCCGUGACUAAUGACGGUACCGUCAGAAGAAGCACCGGCUAACUACGUGCCAGCAGCCGCGGUAAUACGUAGGGUGCGAGCGUUAAUCGGAAUUACUGGGCGUAAAGCGUGCGCAGGCGGUUUUGUAAGACAGACGUGAAAUCCCCGGGCUUAACCUGGGAACUGCGUUUGUGACUGCGAGACUAGAGUGCGGCAGAGGGGGGUAGAAUUCCACGUGUAGCAGUGAAAUGCGUAGAUAUGUGGAGGAAUACCGAUGGCGAAGGCAGCCCCCUGGGUCGACACUGACGCUCAUGCACGAAAGCGUGGGGAGCAAACAGGAUUAGAUACCCUGGUAGUCCACGCCCUAAACGAUGUCAACUAGGUGUUGGGGAAGGAGACUUCUUUAGUACCGCAGCUAACGCGCUAAGUUGACCGCCUGGGGAGUACGGUCGCAAGAUUAAAACUCAAAGGAAUUGACGGGGACCCGCACAAGCGGUGGAUUAUGUGGAUUAAUUCGAUGCAACGCGAAAAACCUUACCUACCCUUGACAUGCCAGGAAGAUUCCAGAGAUGGGAUUGUGCCCGAAAGGGAACCUGGACACAGGUGCUGCAUGGCUGUCGUCAGCUCGUGUCGUGAGAUGUUGGGUUAAGUCCCGCAACGAGCGCAACCCUUGUCAUUAAUUGCCAUCAUUUGGUUGGGCACUUUAAUGAGACUGCCGGUGAUAAACCGGAGGAAGGUGGGGAUGACGUCAAGUCCUCAUGGCCCUUAUGGGUAGGGCUUCACACGUAAUACAAUGGUCGGUACAGAGGGUUGCCAACCCGCGAGGGGGAGCUAAUCUCAGAAAGCCGAUCGUAGUCCGGAUCGGAGUCUGCAACUCGACUCCGUGAAGUCGGAAUCGCUAGUAAUCGCGGAUCAGCAUGUCGCGGUGAAUACGUUCCCGGGUCUUGUACACACCGCCCGUCACACCAUGGGAGUGGAAUCUGGCAGAAGUAGGUAGCCUAACCGCAAGGAGGGCGCUUACCACGCUGGGUUUCAUGACUGGGGUGAAGUCGAAACAAGGUA
rnacentral:rRNA from 1 species